rnacentral:rRNA from 1 species
AGUGAACGCUGGCGGCGUGCUUAACACAUGCAAGUCGAACGAGAACGGAAUAUAGCUUGCUAUAUUUGUCAGCUAAGUGGCGCACGGGUGAGUAAUGUAUAGAUAACCUGCCCUUAAGAAAGGAAUAACAGUUGGAAACGACUGCUAAUGCCCUAUAUGCCUUUAAUACAUAAGUAUGCAAGGGAAACGCUUUAGUGCUUAAGGAUGGGUCUGUAUGGUAUCAGCUUGUUGGUGAGGUAAUGGCUCACCAAGGCUAUGACGCCUAACUGGUUUGAGAGGAUGAUCAGUCACACUGGAACUGAGACACGGUCCAGACUCCUACGGGAGGCAGCAGUGGGGAAUAUUGCACAAUGGACGAAAGUCUGAUGCAGCAACGCCGCGUGGAGGAUGACACAUUUCGGUGCGUAAACCCCUUUUAUAUAGGAAGAUAAUGACGGUACUAUAUGAAUAAGCACCGGCUAACUCCGUGCCAGCAGCCGCGGUAAAAC